GCUGGCGGCACGCCUAACACAUGCAAGUCGAACGGAGUAGCAAUACUUAGUGGCAGACGGGUGAGUAACAUGUAGGUAUCUGCCCUUUGGCCUGGAAUAACACGAGGAAACUUGUGCUAAUACCAGAUAAGUCUUUACGGAGAAAGCUUUAUGCACCAUUGGAUGAGCCUGCACUUGAUUAGUUUGUUGGUGGGGUAAUGGCCUACCAAGACUUUGAUCAAUAGCUGAUUUGAGAGGAUGAUCAGCCACAUUGGGACUGAGACACGGCCCAAACUCCUACGGGAGGCAGCAGUGGGGAAUCUUGCACAAUGGAGGAAACUCUGAUGCAGCGAUGCCGCGUGAGUGAAGAAGGCCCUUGGGUUGUAAAGCUCUUUCGUCGGGGAAGAAAAUGACUGUACCCGAAUAAGAAGGUCCGGCUAACUUCGUGCCAGCAGCCGCGGUAAUACGAAGGGACCUAGCGUAGUUCGGAAUUACUGGGCUUAAAGAGUUCGUAGGUGGUUGAAAAAGUUGGUGGUGAAAUCCCAGAGCUUAACUCUGGAACUGCCAUCAAAACUUUUCAGCUAGAGUUUGAUAGAGGAAAGCAGAAUUUCUAGUGUAGAGGUGAAAUUCGUAGAUAUUAGAAAGAAUACCAAUUGCGAAGGCAGCUUUCUGGAUCAUUACUGACACUGAGGAACGAAAGCAUGGGUAGCGAAGAGGAUUAGAUACCCUCGUAGUCCAUGCCGUAAACGAUGUGUGUUAGACGUUGGAAAUUUAUUUUCAGUGUCGCAGCGAAAGCAAUAAACACACCGCCUGGG
rnacentral:rRNA from 1 species